rnacentral:rRNA from 1 species
GCAUAUCAAUAAGCGGAGGAAAAGAAACCAACAGGGGAUUGCCCCAGUAACGGCGAGUGAAGCGGCAAGAGCUCAAAUUUGAAAGCUGGCUCCUUCGGGGUCCGCAUUGUAAUUUGCAGAGGAUGCUUCGGGAGCGGUCCCCAUCUAAGUGCCCUGGAACGGGACGUCAUAGAGGGUGAGAAUCCCGUAUGGGAUGGGGUGUCCGCGCCCGUGUGAAGCUCCUUCGACGAGUCGAGUUGUUUGGGAAUGCAGCUCUAAAUGGGUGGUAAAUUUCAUCUAAAGCUAAAUAUUGGCCGGAGACCGAUAGCGCACAAGUAGAGUGAUCGAAAGAUGAAAAGCACUUUGAAAAGAGAGUUAAAAAGCACGUGAAAUUGUUGAAAGGGAAGCGCUUGCGACCAGACUCGCUCGCGGGGUUCAGCCGGCAUUCGUGCCGGUGUAUUUCCCCGCGGGCGGGCCAGCGUCGGUUUGGGCGGUCGGUCAAAGGCCCUCGGAAGGUAACGCCCCUAGGGGCGUCUUAUAGCCGAGGGUGCAAUGCGACCUGCCUAGACCGAGGAACGCGCUUCGGCUCGGACGCUGGCAUAAUGGUCGUAAGCGACCCGUCUUGAAACACGGACCAAGGAGUCUAACAUCUACGCGAGUGUUCGGGUGUCAAACCCGUGCGCGAAGUGAAAGCGAACGGAGGUGGGAACCCUCACGGGUGCACCAUCGACCGAUCCUGAAGUCUUCGGAUGGAUUUGAGUAAGAGCGUAGCUGUUGGGACCCGAAAGAUGGUGAACUAUGCCUGAAUAGGGCGAAGCCAGAGGAAACUCUGGUGGAGGCUCGUAGCGGUUCUGACGUGCAAAUCGAUCGUCGAAUUUGGGUAUAGGGGGCGAAAGACUAAUCGAACCAUCUGGUAGCUGGUUCCUGCCGAAG